GAUGAACGCUGGCGGCGUGCUUAACACAUGCAAGUCGAACGAAGCACCUUGAUUUGAUUCUUCGGAUGAAGAUCUUGGUGACUGAGUGGCGGACGGGUGAGUAACGCGUGGGUAACCUGCCUCAUACAGGGGGAUAACAGUUAGAAAUGACUGCUAAUACCGCAUAAGACCACAGCACCGCAUAGUGCAGGGGUAAAAACUCCGGUGGUAUGAGAUGGACCCGCGUCUGAUUAGGUAGUUGGUGGGGUAACGGCCUACCAAGCCGACGAUCAGUAGCCGACCUGAGAGGGUGACCGGCCACAUUGGGACUGAGACACGGCCCAAACUCCUACGGGAGGCAGCAGUGGGGAAUAUUGCACAAUGGGGGAAACCCUGAUGCAGCGACGCCGCGUGAGCGAUGAAGUAUUUCGGUAUGUAAAGCUCUAUCAGCAGGGAAGAAGAUGACGGUACCUGACUAAGAAGCACCGGCUAAAUACGUG
rnacentral:rRNA from 1 species